rnacentral:misc_RNA from 1 species
CCGAAUUGUCAACACGAGUUGUUGCUGGUCCCCAGACCGGGGUCAUGUGCACACUCUGUUUACACAUCCACCCACACCUGUGCACCCUCUGUAGCUCUAUGGCCUGGGUGGGUUUGUCCCCCUCCUUGCUGUGGUUCUACGUAUUUACACACACACUGCCGUAAAGUCUCAUGGAAUGUUUGCCGCGUUUAACGCAAUACAAUA